UUUUCUGUGGUGCUUCUCAUCUUUGGAAUGCAGAAAGCCAGCUUAGGCAGACCUCAUUACUAUCAUUUAGGUGCCAAGCAAAAACAGUUCCCUUUUCCAAGUCUUUAAGAACUUCUAAUAUCUACCCAUCUUGGAAUUGGGGAAGUGAGGCUGAGAGAGAGGACCUGGAAUGUUUUGAACCUUGGCCCCAGUUUGUCACUUCCAAUGUCUUCCAGGAAUCAAACAAUUGGAAUAAGCCAUGCCAUGUAUUGUCUGCAUAUUGUGACACCUCAACCCAAACCUCCAGAUGAAUUCUACCAGCAGUUCCAUGUCAAUGUUACAACACAUGGAAGGAUGCACACCACACCAACCUUCCUAUAGAAUGGAACAUCUGGGGAGCAGUAUCAGGGUCAGUGGUAUUAAAAGUCACCAAGAGGCGCAGAAAAACCACCAGGGUGACCAAGGUAAUCCAAAUCCAGGCCAAAAAAAUCUGACUGGAAACCACCAGUUCCCUGGCUUCCUUCACAUGAAUCUAUAAGGUUGAAUCAAAGGUUCACAAUGGUAUUUGUAUUUGCUAUUUGUACAAAAGCUAGCCUUUACUUCUUUGAAAAUCUACUGAAGUCAUACAGACAGAAUAAUUUGUAAAGAUACCUUCUAUUUGUUCAUCUUCUAAUUGUUCACCUACUUUUCUAUUUAAUCAUUUUGAAGUACCGUCUAUGUUCCCAAUUAACAGCUAUACAAUGUAUUUCUUUUGCACUGAAUAGUUAAAUGUAAAAAGCGUAUGGUCUAUUAUAGCGCAGAGCAGCAAAUGAUCAAAAAAAUUGGUGUUAUUGCUUCAAUAUAUAUAAUUUCUUGCCAAGGCAAAAUACAUUUUGUGGACAAUGGCAUUAAUGGAGACACAUGAAUGUUAUGUUGUUAUACCCUGGUGCAGUCAGCAUGGGGAAUGGAAAGCUCCACAUACUAUUUUAUCACGAUUCCUAAGAAGAGCUAAAACAAUACACCAAUCACACCUUUAGGGCAUCUUCUUAGGAUCACUUCACAUGAGCCAGUUAACCCUUAAUAUAUUUGCCCCUUCCUUUCAAAUGAGUCAUACUAUUUCAUGUAAUUUAUGACUGAUUAAUUCAAAAAUUAAGCUACUCAGUAGUGGUUAAAAGACAAAGAAUGCAUUAUAGAGAUUGGUUUUGUCUGAGACAAUUUGCUUUUUGUAAUGCAAAAACUGCUAUUUUUAGUUAUAAUUAAAUGACUGGGAGUGUUCUCGUAAUCCCUGUACCAGAUUGCAAUCUCCAUUCUGUCACUUAAAGCUGUACUGCCUAAGAGAAUGGAACAACAGGUAUGCACAACAAACAAAACAAGAAAUCCAAAGCAAUGCAACACUAUGUAUUCACACACCUUGCGCCCAAUGUCAGUACAAAAGAUAGGAAAGAAGAGGAACAUUUCUUGGUUCCUAAAUUGUGGUUGGGUCUCCCCAAGGACCUUUGAAGGUGACUGUAGCUUCUGUUUAUCAACUUGCUUCCUAUAGGUGUUGAAACUGCCUCCUUGUCCCUUCCUUGUUGCGAUCACUAUUGCCAGUUUAUUCUGCAGACACCAAUAUUGGCAUUUAAUUUUGUUCAAAUUGUAUGAGGAUAUAGAUGUUCAAAUAGAAUAUCUAACACCAGCAUUUGGGUUGCAAGGAAUCCUGCCCUCUUGAUGGCUAUUGGUCUCAUAGAUCCAUAGAUUCAUUUCCUGAUAUUCUGCCUUCCAGCAAGUGAAAAUUAAGAAUUCUUAACUUUCAGUCUCAAAUAUCAAUUCUGGCCUGUAUUAUAUUAAGGGAUUUUAUAUUUCUAUUUGUAAUGAUUGUUUACUCUAUCUUUCUCACUGAUUCCGCUUUAACUAUGUCUUUACACAUCUAGUCUCUGAAGUCUGAACCACAGAAACAUGUUUGUAUUUAUAACAGUGUUGAAGCCUCUACAGUCCUUGCACCAUAUUAGGUGCAAAAUUACCAAUAAUAAGCAGACUGUAAAAUGAUUCCAUGGUUCAAUCCAUAAAUCUGAGCUUUGUUGUAAAGUUAAGUAUAAUAACUAUAACUGAAAUCACAUGUGUAAUUUCAAAAACUAAAAUUGUUUCAGACCGCCUUCUUUUAAAUAAGACAUUUUUUAGAGAGAGAGCUACCUUAGAAUGGAAAGCUUUUUAUUUCUACCGAAAUUUAUAUUUCUUUAUCUGUUUUAACAGGUCUAUAUUUUUUAAUGAUUGUUAAUAGUGCUACAGGCAGUUCACAACCUACGCUGGGGUUAAGUUCCAAAGAUAACACCUAAAACCAAAAUCAUGUCUAGUCAAAAGACAUUGGGUUCAAUGGCAGGUGGGAUUACCAAAGUAUUUUUUCCUGGAUGCCCGCUCCCUUUUGCUAAGUGCAUAAAGCUGAAUGUUCACAAGUUAAAUGAGCGCAAGUUGCGAGUUAUCUGUAAUAUGAUUCUGCAUCACAUUUUUAAAACAUGGGAACCAUGUCAAGUGGGCUACAUUAAAAAAACUGACGAAUAAAUUAACAAAAUAAUUUAUUUGGAAAUAGGCCCCACUGAAUUACUUUCACACAAAAUUUGUUUAGGAUGCUUCUGAGAAUAAUGUCAAUGACUAAUACCCAACAUGAGACAGAUUCUCAGUAGACCCAUUGAUUAGCACUGGAUAUGAUCUAGGACAAACUGUGGGAGGCAGUGGAAGACAGGAGUGCCUGGCGUGCUCUGGUCCAUGGGGUCACGAAGAGUCGGACAUGACUAAACAACUAAACAACAACAAAUGAUCUAGGAUUUAUACCAAAACAGAAGUCUAAUAGAUGUGAAGACUAUUUCAGUCAUGUGAAUCCAUCAUACUGGUAAGGAUUUUAAUGUUGCUUAUCCUCCAGAAACCGAUUGAUUUCUCAAAUAUUUAUACCACUCCAAGAAAUACAGUAGGAGUUUAUUUCUGCUCAAUUGACAAUUUCCAAAUUGGGUGCAGGGGCAUACUUGUGUGCCCAGAGAGAACUGCUAACUUGCUGUGUGAAAUAACAAAUAAAUAUUGAAUAAAAUAUUGAAGCAAAUUAUUGUGAGCCCAAAGAACCCUCCCAGAGGGGAACCUGUCUGCAAUGUUUCUGCAAAAUUAACUGCUCUAGCCUUGCCUCCUUUUCUUCAUUCUCCACUGUAGGAGGGUAAACUGCUCUGUGUCUAUGUGCCUUAUAAUGUGCUUGGAAGGCUCAAAUUGGGUGCAACUAAGAGCUGUUCCUGUUGCAGAAAUGCAGCAGAAUAGCCUACCCCAAGACUGCAAACUCUGC